rnacentral:rRNA from 1 species
AGAAUGAACGCUGGCGGCAUGCCUAACACAUGCAAGUCGAACGAGACCUUCGGGUCUAGUGGCGCACGGGUGCGUAACGCGUGGGAAUCUGCCCCUUGGUUCGGAAUAACAGUUAGAAAUGACUGCUAAUACCGGAUAACGACGUAAGUCCAAAGAUUUAUCGCCGAGGGAUGAGCCCGCGUAGGAUUAGCUAGUUGGUGUGGUAAAGGCGCACCAAGGCGACGAUCCUUAGCUGGUCUGAGAGGAUGAUCAGCCACACUGGGACUGAGACACGGCCCAGACUCCUACGGGAGGCAGCAGUGGGGAAUAUUGGACAAUGGGCGAAAGCCUGAUCCAGCAAUGCCGCGUGAGUGAUGAAGGCCUUAGGGUUGUAAAGCUCUUUUACCGGGAUGAUAAUGACAGUACCGGGAGAAUAAGCUCCGGCUAACUCCGUGCCAGCAGCCGC